UGUCUUGGGACGUGCCUUACCCGCGCAGGAGUUCAUCCGCUGCAUCCAAGGGUAAACGGGGCUCGUGUACUUCCGGUCGGUGCCUUCGUCAUGGAGUGCUUUGCCCUGCCCGCUGCUGCUGUCGGGUUUGUACUGCUGCUCGGGAGAAAAGUGCAGAAUUCCACCCACGCACCUAUUCCCUCUCCCAGCACUUCAGACACCUCUCUCAUCGAAAAAGUGGGCGAAGGGAAGCCGGCAACGAGCGAAGAACUCUGGUCGAAUUAAUGGCGGCUCCCAGAAGCUCCUGCCCCUCUGACAGCUGUCGCUUGGGCAGCCCGAGAGACGAAUUGUCCUCCUUCCUGGUGCCAGAGGACGCAGGAAAUUAGCCAGGUUGUGAGUUGCAAAGCUGCCGCCAAGGCGCCGGGAACUGGGCGCGCCCCACCUCCAGCAGGAGCCACCAGGCCUGGUUUGGCCUGGGCUUUCCCUCGCUCGCCAUUGCCGGACAAAGCGCAGCCGAGCCGGGCUGGAAGACAGAGCUCCGAAGCAGGCAGGAUGGAGCGGAGCAAAAGAAUGCGGCUCUAUUCUCGCAAGGGAAAUUAUAAAAAAGUUCAUGUUCACGGUUCCCAUCCACAUGACCGACAGCGGCCAAUGGAAGGGCCGAACAACUCAUAAAGUUGUAUUGCAAAGUUGUAAA